rnacentral:sRNA from 22 species
UGUUGCUCAUUCAACUGGUUAUGAUUGCGUUGCUAACUGGCAAAUAUUUUCGCUCAUAACAUCUGGAAUGAUGCCAAAAGAAAGGGUGCCUAUCGUCCACCAGACCGAUAACAGGGCGUGAAAACGAACUUUAUCAAGCAUCGGACGACACGUUGAGUGAGGCACCGCCUA